CCGGAUCGGACGACCCCACCCCCCGCUGAAGCAAGUGGUCCGCUUUCAGAACUAAAACAGGGAAGUAUCUACACAGCUUCACCAUUGACGUGUUCGACGGAGAAUCCAAUAGGCUGUGCACGCGCUACCCCAGUCCAGUGCUACAACCGCACCGACACACUGGGGCGUGGUGUGACUGUACAGUUUAAAUGUCGCUCACCCGUGAUUGGUCGGUUCGUCCGUGUUAAGAAGUGGAACGUUCUGAACCGGUCUGAUAUACUGAUACUGUCUGAAGUUCAAGUUCUUGGCAAAAAGGCGACAGCAGGUUGUGCCUUCUCUCAACUUUUUCACCGUGUACGAGAGACGCGACUGAAUUUGACAAAUAACGUCAUUUAAGCCGUUGACGUCAUGAAUUGCGCGAGCAGAUGUGGCCACCUCGAUUGUUUGGCCUUCAACUACAACCAGAACAGUCACCAGUGUCAGCUCAUUUCAGCUCCGACGUUCGACGAGUCAAUAACGAUGACGUCAUCGUGGGAUUACUACGGAGUGGAUCUUUGUUGAUCUGAUUAAUAACUGAACUUAAGAACUGGAAGAAAGACCGGAUCAGCCUGUAUUGGGCAGUUCCGGGAUUUUAUAAAGAGGGAUCCUAAAAUUAUAAAAAGAGGAAAUUUGUGUCUGCAAAUGAGUCAAGCGCCAGAACGGGGCGAGAAUUCUAGGACAUCCGAUGGCAAUUUCUUAAUAAGAUGCCUAGAGACGCUUUUUCAUGGCAAUUUACUUUCAGUUUGCUACAUUUCUGCUUGAAACAUUUUGUAUGAUAAAAGCUUGUUAAUUGUACCAACCAUAUUCAUGUAUGCAUUUGUCAGAGCGUGUUAUAUUAAUGACAUCAUU